AUGGUAAAAUUUCAGAUCUGCUACAGUUUUCAUGUUCCCUUGGAUGUUCAUAUAUUUCUCUCUCUCUCUUUAUUCUUUUCUUUCCCAGUUAAUAGAAUAUUCUGUAAAACAGAAGCAGAACCUCAGGAGAUAAAAAAGAAGGCUACAGUGGAGAAAUUUAAGAACAUGUCUUUCCCCCACCAGGCAAUAAGAUGUGCUACUGGCAGAGCUGUGAAGAUUAAAUGGAAUGAAUUUACAUAUGCAAAAGCACACAGACAGGGUUUUAAGCAAAGUUUAGAAAUGAACUCCUAUGAGAAGUGGACCGCGCAUGGAACUAGGGAGCCAGAGUUUGAGACACAGCAGUAUUCCUAG
ensembl:lncRNA